GAUGAACGCUAGCGGCAGGCUUAAUACAUGCAAGUCGAACGGGAUUGAGAAGCUUGCUUUUCAUGAGAGUGGCGCACGGGUGCGUAACACGUAUGCAACCUGCCUUGUCCAGGGGGAUAGCCCGUUGAAAGACGGAUUAAGACCGCAUAACAUCAUUGAAUGGCAUCGUUUAAUGAUCAAAUAUUUAUAGGGACAAGAUGGGCAUGCGUCUGAUUAGCUAGUUGGCGGGGUAAUGGCCCACCAAGGCGACGAUCAGUAGGGGAUCUGAGAGGAUGACCCCCCACACUUGUACUGAGACACGGACCAAACUCCUACGGGAGGCAGCAGUAAGGAAUAUUGGUCAAUGGGCGCAAGCCUGAACCAGCCAUGCCGCGUGCAGGAAGACGGCCCUACGGGUUGUAAACUGCUUUAUACGGGAAUAACCCCGGUUUCGUGAAACCGGCUGAAUGUACCGUAAGAAUAAGGAUCGGCUAACUCCGUGCCAGCAGCCGCCGUAA
rnacentral:rRNA from 1 species